rnacentral:ncRNA from 1 species
ACAGGGGAAGCCGAAAACCUGAUUUUAGAGUAGGCG